rnacentral:ncRNA from 1 species
AUAAUGAUACUUCCGUCUAGUCACGUACAUGAUGCGUGGGCGGCUCGGUGAGUUCCACGGAGAGGUGAGAGUCCUAUGA